rnacentral:rRNA from 1 species
GAUGAACGCUGGCGGCGUGCCUAAUACAUGCAAGUCGAGCGAACAGACGAGGAGCUUGCUCCUCUGACGUUAGCGGCGGACGGGUGAGUAACACGUGGAUAACCUACCUAUAAGACUGGGAUAACUUCGGGAAACCGGCGCUAAUACCGGAUAAUAUAUUGAACCGCAUGGUUCAAUAGUGAAAGACGGUUUUGCUGUCACUUAUAGAUGGAUCCGCGCCGCAUUAGCUAGUUGGUAAGGUAACGGCUUACCAAGGCAACGAUGCGUAGCCGACCUGAGAGGGUGAUCGGCCACACUGGAACGAAGACCCGGUCCAGACUCCUACGGGAGGCAGCAGUAGGGAAGCUUCCGCAAUGGGCGAAAGCCUGACGGAGCAACGCCGCGUGAGUGAUGAAGGUCUUCGGAUCGUAAAACUCUGUUAUUAGGGAAGAACAAAUGUGUAAGUAACUAUGCACGUCUUGACGGUACCUAAUCAGAAAGCAACGGCUAACUACGUG